AUUUUAAUUUGCCAACAAAUCCUAAUGUGGACUUUGUCACGUUGUGAAAUAAAGUGAUUUUUUGGUAUGGAAAUAUGUGUUAAGACAGACUGUUAGUCUUUGCACUUUAACAACUAGCUGAUACACUUACGUCACAUGGAUGAAAACAUACACAAGUGCACUGUUGUUGGAUAAGGACUCCUGGGUGGUUAGAAGAAUGUGCAGAUCUAACUACUCCCAUUAAGACCAUUGAUUAAAAUGAAAAAUGCUUAUAAAGGUGGAGAUCUCUCAGUUUUAGUCUUAUUGCGUGCCAGAAGCACUAAGGAAUUGCUGCUAAAUAUAAGACAAAUGGACUUGAGGAAAUCACUGAUGACUAACUUGAAACUCUGCCUCCUGAGAUCACACAGAUGAUGAAGAUCAUGUCUCCAAGUCUUUUCUGCCGUUGCCAGUAUUCUCUCCCAAUCUCCUGUGGGCAACUUCUUCGGGAAAACACUCAUGCAAUUUCAUAAGGACAAGCGAAAAUAUGAAGAAGCUGGAUCUUGGAACUAGGCUUUGAUCACAGAGCGGAGCUGAGAUGAAAGUCCAUCCACUCAUUCAACAAAUAAUUGAGUACUUACAAAAAUUUCUGCUGUAUGGAGCUUAUAUAGUAGUGAAUAUCAAUUCUUAUUUUAUGGAUUAUAAAACAGAACUUUUUGCAACAAUUUUACACUACCCUAGGGGUACCUAUGAGUCUUCAUGCCUCAAGUAAUUGUCCUGUCCAUGUGACUAUGGAAGCCCUGAAAUCUUUGAAACCCCAGAUGACCCAUUUCACCAGACGCUUGGACAUUCUCCGUCGAGUUUGGAUUUAUAAUGCCACAUUUUGUUGGAACUCAGAGUUAUGAGUGGCCCUCGCCAUACCUACACUUUCUGACUGAGCUCCUCUCUACCCUGAAUACAAGAGACCCUAAUAGGCAGGAAUAUCAUCACCCCUCUUCAGCCUGAAGAUGUUACAGAAGAUGGAUAUUUGUCCGUUUACAACCCUUAAGAUUAAGGGUUCCCCUGUAAAAGGGAGGGGGAAAAUAUGUCAGAGAUGUUUGAACCAGAGCAACUUCGUCCUGAAUAGUGGCUCGGUAAAGUGAGGCUGACACCUAUGGACUGCAUUCCCAGGAGGUUAGGCAUUCUUAGUUACGGGAUGAAAUAGGAGUUUGGCACAAGAUGGGUCAUAAAGACCUUGCUGAUAAAAGGAUGUGGUACAGAAGCUGGCCAAAACUCACCAAAAUCAAGAUGUGAUGAAAGUGACUUCUGGUAGUCCUCACUCCUCAUUACACUAAUUAUAAUGCAUUAGCAUGCUAAAAGACACGUUCACCAGCACCAUUAUGGUUUACAAAUGCCAUGGCAAUAUCAGCAAGUUACCCUAUAUGGUCUUAAAAGGGGAGGAACCCUCAGUUCUGGGAAUUGCCCACCACUUUCCCAGGAAACUCAUGAAUAAUCCACCCUUUAUUUAGCAAAUAAUCAAGAAAUAACUAUAAGUAUAAUCAGUUGAGCAGCCCAUGCCACUGCUCUGCCUGUGGAAUAGCCACUCUUUUAUUCCUUUACUUUUUUAAUAAACUUGUUUUCACUUUA
rnacentral:lncRNA from 1 species